GAUGAACGCUGGCGGCGUGCCUAAUACAUGCAAGUCGAGCGAAUGGAUUAAGAGCUUGCUCUUAUGAAGUUAGCGGCGGACGGGUGAGUAACACGUGGGUAACCUGCCCAUAAGACUGGGAUAACUCCGGGAAACCGGGGCUAAUACCGGAUAACAUUUUGAACCGCAUGGUUCGAAAUUGAAAGGCGGCUUCGGCUGUCACUUAUGGAUGGACCCGCGUCGCAUUAGCUAGUUGGUGAGGUAACGGCUCACCAAGGCAACGAUGAGUAGCCGGCUUGAGAGGAUGAUCUGCCACACUGGGACUGAGACACGGCCCAGCCUCCUGCGGGAGGCAGCAGUAGGGAAUCUUCCGUAAUGGACGAAAGUCUGACGGAGCAACGCCGCGUGAGUGAUGAAGGCUUUCGGGUCGUAAAACUCUGUUGUUAGGGAAGAACAAGUGCUAGUUGAAUAAGCUGGCACCUUGACGGUACCUAACCAGAAAGCCACGGCUAACUACGUGCCAGCCGCCGCCGUAA
rnacentral:rRNA from 1 species